rnacentral:rRNA from 1 species
CUCCAGACUCCUACGGGAGGCAGCAGUGGGGAAUAUUGCACAAUGGGGGAAACCCUGAUGCAGCAACGCCGCGUGAGUGAAGAAGUCAUUCGUGAUGUAAAGCUCUAUCAGCAGGGAAGAAAAUGACGGUACCUGAGUAAGAAGCCCCGGCUAACUACGUGCCAGCAGCCGCGGUAAUACGUAGGGGGCAAGCGUUAUCCGGAUUUACUGGGUGUAAAGGGAGCGUAGACGGCGGCGCAAGCCAGAUGUGAAAGCCCGGGGCUCAACUCCGGGACUGCAUUUGGAACUGUGUGGCUGGAGUGUCGGAGAGGCAGGCGGAAUUCCUAGUGUAGCGGUGAGAUGCGUAGAUAUUAGGAGGAACACCAGUGGCGAAGGCGGCCUGCUGGACGAUGACUGACGUUGAGGCUCGAAAGCGUGGGGAGCAAACAGGAUUAGAUACCCUAGUAC